UGCUUCAAUUUGCCAAUUUUAAAAAUAUCUGGAAAACGUGACAAUCAAUCAAUUAAAAUUUUUGUCAUGAAUUUUGGAGAGCUUAUUUAAAAAAAAAACAUAAUGAAAAAUGUAUAGUUUUGUUUUGUUCAUCUACUUCUUACAUCCUGCCUUUUUAAGGGGACUUGCUUUAAUAUGUACAGUAGCAGGGGUGUGGAAAUGCUAUGCCCGACACGCCCGACUCGUACAUUUGAACAACCGGACAAGUAAUUAUUUUUGUCUUGGUUGCCCGUGGACAAGUAAAAAAAAUAUACAAAACAAAGUUCAAUUCCAACAAAAAUAUAAAAUUGAUUUCAAAACGUAUAAAAAUGUUUAAUUUAAUAAAUGAAACUACGGUAAACAUCGCAAAUUGUGCCCAAGUUGUUGUAUGCACAUUUCUUCAAAGAUAAUUGCCGACUGACCGAUUCUAUUUGAACGAAUUAAUGUUGAUAAUCAUUAAUGACCCAUCCGAUAAACGGAUUACCUAUAACAACAGAUUAUGACACCAGUUGUAACCAUUGAUUAGCUUGGGGUGGUAAACAAAGUCAUAAUCUUUUCCCCAGGUAAAAUUUAGUAAUUAGCGUAUCAUAUCAAUACGCAAAUUAAUAUGCAAUCGAUCUUCAAAAAGGCAGGGCGCCCUGGAAACUGUAAAAAGGGCACAGGGCGCCACUCGGAAAAGGGCGGGCGCCGCGCCCUCUGAAAACGGCCUAGCUGGAACACUGUUUAUGUAAAAGAAACCAAUGUUCAGCAUAGUAAAAACAUCAAUGUUCAUGACGAUAAAUAUUACAUAAUACCGGAAAUAGAUGGAUUACCAAAAUAAAUUAAAAUAAGUAUACGAACCCGAGUCGCGUAAAAUUGCAUCGGCUUUGUCCAUUGACCCAGGAUCAUUGAUUAGGUUUUAUCCAUCAUUUACCGGAAGUGUCAUUUCUUUAAAUUUUGUAUUGAAAUUCAGAUUGAUAAAUACUUUUAAAUAAUAAGCCGGGCAAGCAAGACAAAAAGAGUGAUGAGUCGAGUAGAAAACAUAAAACGCAAAUGGAGGACACAGAGUAUUUAAAAAAAAACGGAAGCGAGAAUUUCAGACAUUGUGGAUAUCAGAUUGCCCCUGGCUAUCUAGAAUGGAAAUUCGCAAAAUAAAUUAAGUUUUUGUCUUAUUUAUUGAUGAAAGGUCAAUAUUAUUUGUUGUCGAAGUGGUAAAUUAAAAGGUUCGCUUUAAUUGAUCAUCAAGACAAUAAUAAAUAAUCAACAACAAGAGUGUCAGUUUAGAAAAACACCACAACAUCAAUAGUUUAUCUAUUAUUUACUAGUUUACAUUUCUUCAAUUAUUGUCCUCUCCUCAAAUUGAGUAUAUAUACCUACUUGGCUACAAUCUUUAUUCAAAAACUGCUGCAAAAUUGUCCUUUACAUGUCUUUUCAUUGGUUGGUUUGCUGUUAGGUUUCUGUCCCAUUGAUGUUAACCCAUUUCUUACUUUCCUAUUUUUUUUUUGCACAUAUAGACAAUUGGAUUUCAUUUGUUUGUGAGGCACAAUUUUAACAGUGCUUAGUAAGAAUCACAUAUUAGGUAACAAGAAAUACUUCAAUAUUUAUUGGGAUCAUCAGGGUAAGUAACUCUUUUUCCGGACAAGUAAAAUUUAUAGUUUUACCUGCCCAGGGACAAGUGCUCAUAACAAAUAUUUCCACACCCCUGAGUAGUAAAAAGGAAGAAGGGUGUGAUAACACCCAAAUGGAGCUAUUUUUCAAUAAUGAAAUGAAAUUAGUGAUAUAAUGCAGGCAUUAUAUUUUUAUAACAAAACAUGACCAAGAAUUGACAAACAUUUUUGAAACAUUCACAAUAAAAUGUUAUCAAGGAGGAACACAGGGUGGGGCAGGUAAAAUCCCCUUCCUUUUCUGUCACAACUAUUUAUAUAAAAAAACAUUGUUAUUGAUUUGGGUUUGGAGAAUUUUUGUUAAGGACAUACAUCUCUAAGUCAUUUUUGAAUAUUUGCCCUCUAGAGAAAUAGUUUUUACUGAUCUGAAUUACAAACAGAAAAUUGAUAUUGAUAUUAUGUGCAUACCCAAUUUGGCAGAUAUGUUUUCAGAAAACAGUAAUUGAGCUGAAUUGUUUUAAUUGCACUGCAAAAACCAAACCAUUUGAUAUUUUGGCUUGAUAAAACAUUUGUACCUUUAGGGACUUGUAAUAUUUUAAGUGGCAGAUUGAGGGUGCAAGGAAAGAGGAGGGUAAUAAGUGAAAUCACUGAUUGUAACAAGGUGAAAUAUUUUUUUGACGAUUUCAGGCAAACAUUUGUUUUUUAUCCAUAGGGGGAGGCAUAUUGUGUCAUAUUCCUCUUCGACACCCUUAGUUCUCCACUAACCUUUGAUGAAAAGUGAAGAAUAUCUAUGUUAUUUAAUGCCAUGUAAACUGUUUUCGAUGAAUGUUGAAUUUUAUAAAUGUCAAUAUAUAUAUAAAAAAAGGU
rnacentral:lncRNA from 1 species